rnacentral:rRNA from 1 species
CCUACGGGUGGCAGCAGUGAGGAAUAUUGGUCAAUGGGCGGGAGCCUGAACCAGCCAAGUCGCGUGAGUGAAGACGGUCCUAUGGAUUUUAAACCUCUUUAGGCGGGGAGCAAUGCCUUGCACGUGUGCCCGGAGGGAUAGUACCCGCAUAAUAAGCAUCGGCUAACUCCGUGCCAGCAGCCGCGGUAAUUCGGAGGAUGCGAGCGUUAUCCGGAUUUAUUGGGUUUAAAGGGUGCGUAGGCGGAGUUUUAAGUCAGCGGGAAAAUGUCCGGGCUCAACCCGGGCCGGACGUUGAAACUGGGGAUCUUGAGUGGGCGAGGAGUGUGCGGAAUGCGUGGUGUAGCGGUGAAAUGCGUAGAUA